rnacentral:rRNA from 1 species
GACAGAGGUGGCGAGCGUUGUUCGGAUUUAUUGGGCGUAAAGCGUACGCAGGCGGUUUGGUAAGUCAGAGGUGAAAUCCCGCAGCUUAACUGCGGUACUGCCUUUGAUACUGCCUUUCUUGAGUGCAUGAGGGGGAAGCGGAAUUCCGAGUGUAGAGGUGAAAUUCGUAGAUAUUCGGAGGAACACCGGUGGCGAAGGCGGCUUCCUGGCAUGUAACUGACGCUCAGGUGCGAAAGCGUGGGUAGCAAACAGG